CAAUAGCGUAUAUUAAAGUUGUUGCGGUUAAAAGCUCGUAGUUGGAUUUCUGUUGAAGACGGCCGGUCCGCUCUAUGAGCGUGUAUCUGGUUCGGCUUUGGCAUCCUCGUGGGGAACGUAACUGUGCUUGAUUGCAUGGUGCGGUAUUCACGACUUUUACUUUGAGGAAAUUAGAGUGUUCACGGCAGGCAAGCGCCUUGAAUAUAUUAGCAUGGAAUAAUAAUAUAGGACUUUGGUUCUAUUUUGUUUGGUUUCUAGAACUAAAGUAAUAGAUUAAUUAAGGGAGUAAUUAGGGGGUCGGAUUUGUUAUUUAAACGACGUCCAGAAGGUGGGAAUUACUUUGGUAUUGUCGUUACGACAAACUAACUGCGAAAGCAUUUGCCAAGGAUGUUUUCUAUUGAUCAAGAACGAAAGUAUGGGGAUCGAAGAUGAUUAGAUACCAU
rnacentral:rRNA from 1 species